rnacentral:rRNA from 1 species
GACGAACGCUGGCGGCGUGCUUAACACAUGCAAGUCGAACGGAAAGGCCCUGCUUUUGUGGGGUUCUCGAUUGGCGAACGGGUGAGUAACACGUGAGUAACCUGCCCUUGACUUUGGGAUAACUUCAGGAAACUGGGGCUAAUACCGGAUAGGAGCUCCUGCUGCAUGGUGGGGGUUGGAAAGUUUCGGCGGUUGGGGAUGGACUCGCGGCUUAUCAGCUUGUUGGUGGGGUAGUGGCUUACCAAGGCUUUGACGGGUAGCCGGCCUGAGAGGGUGACCGGGGACAAUGGGACUGAGAUACGGACCAGACUCGUACGGGAGGCAGCAGGGGGGAAUAUUGCACAAUGGGCGGAAGCCUGAGGCAGAAACGCCGCGUGCGGGAUGACGGCCUUCGGGUUGUAAACCGCUUUCGCCUGUGACGAAGCGGGAGUGACGGUAAUGGGUAAAGAAGCACCGGCUAACUACGUG